UGCAGCAAAUCAAGAAAUUUGUAUACAGUUUGCAAAACAACUGUUUUGCGUUUGUCAGAACGUUACCAUCUGACUGGAAACUCUUCCUUUUUUCUUGUUUAUUCUUCAGUUAUGUGCCCUCAUGGUGGCUCCUUUUAGGCUGGUGUCCUCACUAAGAAAUCAGACUUCCCUUGGCUGUACAGCUCCUGGGACUUGCAUGAACACUUGGCUGUUUUGACUUUCUGGGCUGGAGAAGCUGGAGGCUUGGUUUCCAGAA
rnacentral:lncRNA from 1 species